rnacentral:rRNA from 1 species
UACGUAGGGUGCAAGCGUUAAUCGGAAUUACUGGGCGUAAAGCGCACGUAGGCGGAUAUUUAAGUCAGGGGUGAAAUCCCAGAGCUCAACUCUGGAACUGCCUUUGAUACUGGGUAUCUGGAGUAUGGAAGAGGUGAGUGGAAUUCCGAGUGUAGAGGUGAAAUUCGUAGAUAUUCGGAGGAACACCAGUGGCGAAGGCGGCUCACUGGUCCAUUACUGACGCUGAGGUGCGAAAGCGUGGGGAGCAAACAGG